AGCAAUGUGCCACCAGGCACCCUCUGGGAAUCGGAGUUUCUUGAUGAGAGCUUCCUAGCAUGUCAGAACACCUGCAACGCCACGGCUUGUCAAAUGCUCACCAACAUGGUCAUCCUCAGAGCCUUCUCUUUACGCACCAGGGCUUACGAUCUUUACGCCAAGGCCAAGAGCCAAGACCUCCGAAAGCUUUGGUACGGUCGCACCACCAGACCUUUUCCUACUGUGGCUUUUGGGAAGCAUUCUAAG